rnacentral:lncRNA from 1 species
UCUCCCCUCUUUUUGGUAGACGGCCAACACCGAGGCCUUCUUUCUCUUCUCCGACUGAUGGCGAGGGUAUCCCGGCUCUUCCUACUACAAAAGGGGAUCCCACCUAUGUCUAAUGUAAUUAAGGCCAGAUUUAAAGAACCACAACCCUAUCAUCAUCCUGGCAUUCCACAAUUCGAGGUUGCUUAUGUGCACCAUCCAGAACCCACUACUUAUUGUAGGAAACGAUGGUU